rnacentral:rRNA from 1 species
CCGGCGCACGGGUGAGUAACGCGUAUGCAACUUACCUAUCAGAGGGGGAUAACCCGGCGAAAGUCGGACUAAUACCGCAUGAAGCAGGGGCCCCGCAUGGGGAUAUUUGCUAAAGAUUCAUCGCUGAUAGAUAGGCAUGCGUUCCAUUAGGCAGUUGGCGGGGUAACGGCCCACCAAACCGACGAUGGAUAGGGGUUCUGAGAGGAAGGUCCCCCACAUUGGUACUGAGACACGGACCAAACUCCUACGGGAGGCAGCAG